AUGAGACUUUGGUUGUAUCUCGUUCUCAUUGCAGCAGUGUUUGAAGGUGCCCUUUCACAAGUGCAGCUGGUGGAGUCUGGAGGGGAUGUGAAAAGGCCCGGAGACUCUCUCCGCCUCUCCUGCAAAGCCUCCGGCUUCACCUUCAGCAGCAACUGGAUGCACUGGGUCCGUCAGGCCCCCGGGAAGGGACUGGAGUGGAUCGCCCGGAUUUACAGUUCUAGCAUAAACUACAGUGACUCAGUAAAAGGCCGAUUUACCAUCUCCAGGGAUGAUUCCAAGAGUGAGCUUUAUCUGCAAAUGACCGGCCUGAAGCCCGAGGACACCGCCCGCUAUUACUGUGCGACACACA